GACAGAGGAUGCAAGCGUUAUCCGGAAUGAUUGGGCGUAAAGCGUCUGUAGGCGGCUUUUCAAGUCCGCCGUCAAAUCCCAGGGCUCAACCCUGGACAGGCGGUGGAAACUGCCAAGCUGGAGUACGGUAGGGGCAGAGGGAAUUUCCGGUGGAGCGGUGAAAUGCGUAGAGAUCGGAAAGAACACCAACGGCGAAAGCGCUCUGCUGGGCCGACACUGACACUGAGAGACGAAAGCUAGGGGAGCGAAUGGG
rnacentral:rRNA from 1 species